ACACUCUGUGGAAUUUGGCCCGAGAGGAGAUUUUGAUGGGAUCAACCCGGUGGGGGAGAGGAGGAAUGAAUUCCCAAGGAGAACUCUCCUCCUCUUAUAGGCUCAGCAUCCCCUCUCUUUCUUCCUCUCUGGUUGUUCCGAUAAGGAUGUGGAGGUUUAUCUCUUUCGUGGAUGAUGGGAUACUUGGACGUGGGAGGAGAUUGGGGGUCUGUUUCGAAGCAGAGGAAGAUGUGGAGGAAGCUCACGAUGCUUGCUUUCCGGACAUUGGGAUAAGGAUGCAAGGAGGUUCGGAUCCGUGACCUGUUGUCCGUAUGUUACUACUAUUAGACCUCCAACCCGGAGAGACUCUACAAUCAUUAUGAGCGGAUAAACCUGAAGUCUGGGGCGCAUGCGGAAGCUUAGAUUUGCUGGGAGGAAGUGGUUCUGAAGCAAGGGAAUUUUGAGAUGCAGGGGAAGAAGUUUGAUCCGAGAAGAUGAUGAUGGAUGCGAAGAUCGUGGGAUCUAGCUUCGGAAUGAAUGCCUAAGCCUUAUCCCGUGGAUGAUGGGAGCAAUCCGGAACGAGAGGAAGCUCGGGAAGCUUGGGACGUUGGGAGUAAUCUGGCAGAAGGUUGCUGGUUCUCAUCCGGAAGGGAAGGAAUGGUUCCGAAAUAGGGGAAGAUGCAGGACAUGGCCGACUCGGGAUGAACUCGUGGAGCGGAAUAGCUGGCUUGAUUCGUGAGGAAGAUGAAAUGAGCUGGGAGCAGGGGAUUUUGUUUGGAUAAGGAUGGAAGAGAGAACUAGAAUCGGCUGGGAGUUAUCCGUGGGUGGUUGAAGGUCAUCGCGAACAGGAGAAAGAACCAAUGUGUUCAUGGUGAUGCUGAGAAUUCCGUGGCGUUCGGGAUGAAGUUGUUUGGGACGCAAUCAGCUCGGGAUGAGGAUUUGAUCCAGUUGGAUGAAGGAUUAAUAAGCUUGGGAUGAGGGUGUUGUUUGGUUUGAAAGUUUGAUUUCCUUCGGCUGGGAGCAGAUUCAUUCGGCUGGGAAUAGAGGACGAUGCAGGACGUGGGCGUUUGAGAAGAUUACGAACGGAUACGAGAUGAUCUUGGGAUGCUGGGAUCUAGCGGAAGAAGCUGGGUUUUUGAAUCCAUCCCAUGGAUCAUGCGGAGGUCUUGUUUUGGUUUUGUCCGUGGGACACGGGAACUGAGAAG
rnacentral:lncRNA from 1 species